CAGAAACGAACGGUCGGCGACGUGUGGCUCUGUCUACUUUUGAGAUUCCCUCGGGGGCAGUAACUCGGUGUCCCCUAUCCGCAGCCAGCUUGGGAGGAGGAGACAAAUCCGGUUAUCCGCGUUGGGGCACUCGCUGAGGGGAGAGAAUGAAAACGAUGGCAGUAUAUAGCAGAAUUUCCUCGGGAGCACGGAGCUUUCUACAACACUCACAAGAACAAAGGAGAUGGAAAAUUAAACCUGAGUGCCCAGACAACAAGUUUCCUUCCUUUCAAAAUAACUUCAGGAGACUGAAGCAGAGCCACAUGCUGCUGGAAUGGAAUCGAGUGGAAAUAGAGUCCUGCUCUUGGGCAUGGGACAGAUGGCCUUCUGCUCCGGUAGAGGGUGUGGUUUAUACCCGGGUUAUAAGAGCCCUUGGGCUAAACCCAAAAAGCAAGGCUUGGGCUGGAUAUCCUUGUUACUAACGGAAUGUGCCUAGCCUGCAUGGCCUCUUGUUUUAACACUCCAAUCUCCACCUGCUGAAACUAGUUUUUGAAUCUUUAAAAAGUGAGGUCUAGCACCAGACUAAGGGCUGGCCUUUGGAGGCUAAACCAGGUACCUACUUCCUGCCGUGUUUCUCUGCGGGAGGAUCCAUUUUUAUGAAAACAGCUUCCACUACAAAAUCCUGUACCUGCCUGAAACCCUGAGCCAAGAUAAAAUCUCUCCUAAAAAAAGAAAAAGUUUCUUUCUGGGGUAUUAGUAGAGUGAAAACAUAACCUUUUUUGGUGGGAAGAGGAAACCCAAGCAUGGCAGACACUAAGAAGUUAAAAAGAAGAUGGAAGCCUACAGUGUCCACUUGGGAUGACCCACUCUACCUGAUCCCACUGUACCAAUGAAGAAACAAAUACAGAGAAGUAGCUUCCUCAUAGCAACCCAAUUGAUCGGGAACAUUUAUUAAUUUUAUUGGGGUUGGUUGUUGAAAUGACAAUGGCUUAGAUAUGUUGGGUUAAAUAAAAAUGUUACUGAAUGAUA